rnacentral:rRNA from 1 species
UACGUAGGGGGCAAGCGUUGUCCGGAUUUAUUGGGCGUAAAGAGCGUGUAGGCGGUUUGGUAGGUCCGCUGUGAAAACUCGAGGCUCAACCUCGAGACGCCGGUGGAAACCAUCAGACUAGAGUCCGGAAGAGGAGAGUGGAAUUCCUGGUGUAGCGGUGAUAUGCGUAGAUAUCGGGAGGAACACCAGUGGCGAAGGCGGCUCUCUGGGCCCUACCUGACGCUGAGACGCGAAAGCGGUGGGGAGCGAACCGG